GCCAAUAGAGCUGGGCACAGUGGAGUACCAGCUACUCAGGAGGUUGAGGCAGGAGGAUCAUGUGAGCCCAGGAAUUCUGGGCUAUUGUGAGCUAUGCUGAUCAGGUGUCUGCUCUAAGUUUUUCAUCAAUAUGGUGACCUCCUGGGAGUGGUGGACCAAAAGGUUGACUAAGGAGGAGUGAACCGACCAGGCCAGAAAAGGAGCAGGUCAGAACUCCCAUGCUGAUCAGUAGUAGGAUUGUGCCUGUGAAUAGCUACUGUGCUCCAGCCUGGGCAACACAGCAAGACCAUGUCUCCU
rnacentral:SRP_RNA from 1 species